rnacentral:rRNA from 1 species
UAGGGAAUCUUCCGCAAUGGACGCAAGUCUGACGGAGCAACGCCGCGUGAGUGAAGAAGGAUUUCGGUUCGUAAAACUCUGUUGUUAGAGAAGAACAGCGCAUAGAGUAACUGUUAUGCGUGUGACGGUAUCUAACCAGAAAGCCACGGCUAACUACGUGCCAGCAGCCGCGGUAAUACGUAGGUGGCAAGCGUUGUCCGGAUUUAUUGGACGUAAAGCGAGCGCAGGCGGUCAAUUAAGUCUGAUGUGAAAGCCCCCGGCUCAACCGGGGAGGGUCAUUGGAAACUGGUUGACUUGAGUGCAGAAGAGGAGAGUGGAAUUCCAUGUGUAACGGUGAAAUGCGUAGAUAUAUGGAGGAACACCAGUGGCGAAGGCGACUCUCUGGUCUGUAACUGACGCUGAGGUUCGAAAGCGUGGGUAGCAAACAGG